rnacentral:rRNA from 1 species
GGACUGCAGUCUGCAACUCGACUGCACGAAGCUGGAAUCGCUAGUAAUCGCGGAUCAGCACGCCGCGGUGAAUACCGUUCCCGGGCCUUGUACACACCGCCCGUCACACCAUGGAAGUCCGCAAUGCCCGAAGCCGGUGGCCUAAACCACUUAUGUGGAAGGAGCCGUCUAAGGCAGGGCAGAUGACUGGGGUGAAGUCGUAACAAGGUAGC